rnacentral:misc_RNA from 1 species
UCGAACGAAACUUCUGGCUGGAUGCUAUUGUGCUGGCCCUUUGGGGCAAUGUGCACGCCUCUGGUCGUCUGUUUCUUCUGUUCCACCUGUGCACUGCCUGUAGACACGAGAGUGUCUAUGAUUAUGGUUACAAACAUGAUGUUUUGCGAUCACGCAAUCAAUA